rnacentral:tRNA from 1 species
GAGGCUUAGCUCAGCUGGUUAGAGCGCUUGCUUCACACGCAAGAGGCCACUGGUUCGAGUCCAGUAGUCUCC